AUGUCUGCACAAUUUUUUUGUUUUCUAUUUACAGAGCCUGGACUGAGCCAAAAACCUGGAUUUAUUUUUGCCGAACACAAAAGUGAUGGCAAACGGACGUCGGCCUUGCAGCAUCAACGUGGGUUGGUGAUUUACUGUUUCCCAGAAGGACUUUCAACACCCCACAGAGAGGGAUACAUCAUAGCUGCAUCUCAUUCCUCUCAUUUUAUAUCUCCCACAACCUCCGGUCUCAUGUGGUCUGGAAAUCGAUCAAGGUCUUCCAUCAUUAAGAGUACAUCACACCAAUCGGCAACACCCAUGUUCCAAGGUUUAAAGAACCAUGUAUUUUGGAGUGCAACCUCUUUGACCUCAGGGCCUGAGAAGGUGGCCAAGUGGACUUCACUGUUUAACAACAUUCAAAACAUCUAUGGGCAUGAAGACCCCCUCUUCCCCAAAGACAAAGAAGGGGGAAGCCACCACAAAGCCUGUUAA
rnacentral:lncRNA from 1 species